AUGGAUCCUAGACUUCUUUGCUGUGUGAUCUUCUGUCUUCUUGCAGCCACUUUUGUGGAUACUACGGUUAAGCAGAACCCAAGAUACAAGCUUGCAAGAGUUGGAAAACCAGUGAAUUUGAUCUGUUCUCAGACUAUGAAUCAUGAUACCAUGUACUGGUACCAAAAGAAGCCAAACCAAGCACCAAAGCUUCUUCUUUUCUACUAUGAUAAGAUUUUGAACAGGGAAGCUGACACUUUUGAGAAGUUCCAAUCCAGUCGGCCUAACAAUUCUUUCUGCUCUCUCUACAUUGGCUCUGCAGGCCUAGAGUAUUCUGCCAUGUACCUCUGUGCUAGCAGUAGAGA